rnacentral:rRNA from 1 species
AUCUACAGCUGUGUCACCCUGAACAUGCCCAAUUGUGUCUGAUCUCAGAAGCUAAGCAGGGUCGGGCCUGGUUAGUAGUUGGUUGGGAGAAAGUAAAUUCUUACACAGUAGUCA